GACGAACGCUGGCGGCGUGCCUAAUACAUGCAAGUAGAACGCAGAUGCGAACGGGAGAGUAACGCAUAGGUAACUGCCUGGUAGCGGGGGAUAACUAUUGGAAACGAUAGCUAAUACAGCAUACUACCAGGUGUAGCUGCGUUGUAUGAGCUAGUUGUUGGGGUAACGCCUCACCAAGGCAACGAUACAUAUACGAGCCGAGAGGGGGAUAGAACACACUGGGACUGUGACAAGGGCCAUACUCCUCCGGGAGGCAGCAGUAGGGAAUCUUCGGCAAAUGGGGGAAACCGGACCGAGCAACGCGGCGUGAGUGAAGAAGGUUUGCGGAUCGUAAAGCUCUGUUGUUAAGGAAGCGGUACUUAACCAGAAAGGGACGGCUAACUACGUGCCAGCCGCCGCGGUAAUUC
rnacentral:rRNA from 1 species